CGUCAAAUCAUCAUGCCCCUUAUGUCUUGGGCUUCACACGUGCUACAAUGGCUAAUACAACGAGUUGCAAUACUGUAAAGUAAAGCGAAUCUCUUAAAAUUAGUCUCAGUUCAGAUUGGGGUCUGCAACUCGACCCCAUGAAGUCGGAGUCGCUAGUAAUCGCGGAUCAGAAUGCCGCGGUGAAUACGUUCCCGGGUCUU
rnacentral:rRNA from 1 species